rnacentral:rRNA from 1 species
UGUGUAGGCGGUUGCUUAAGUUUGGUGUGAAAUCUCCCGGCUCAACUGGGAGGGUGCGCCGAAUACUGAGUGACUCGAGUGCGGGAGAGGAAAGUGGAAUUCCUGGUGUAGCGGUGAAAUGCGUAGAUAUCAGGAGGAACACCGGUGGUGUAGACGGCUUUCUGGACCGUAACUGACGCUGAGACACGAAAGCGUGGGUAGCAAACAGGAUUAGAUACCCUGGUAGUCCACGCCCUAAACGAUGCAUAUUUGGUGUGGGUCAUUCAGUUGAUCCGUGCCGGAGCUAACGCGUUAAAUAUGCCGCCUGGGGAGUACAGUCGCAAGGCUGAA